CAACUAAUUCUUAUAAUGAUUUUAGAUAACAGUGGGAAACUGUAACACUGAACUUUAGCCCAGAGAUGCUGAUUCACAGUGGAGAUUUGAUCAGUUCUUGAAAGCACGAUAGCUUACGCUUAGGUUGGCAAGAACUUUUGGAAGCAAAUCCUAUUUUCUAACGUGUUAGUCAUUCUUUCCAUUUGCAUCUUUGUUUGCAAAUGUAAACAGUGUGUCAUCAAUGUUGUUAUCUAAAUCAUUUUAAUUUUUAACAGGAGGCAGUUUUGGGUGAAUCCUGUGACAUGCUUCUAGAGACCUAUCUCUACCCCUGUGAUGAUGAUUAACAGGAGGAAUUGGGGUUAUGGUCAUUCAGAUACAAAUCACUUAACUUAGCUCUCAUCUGGUACAUGUAUUUAUUUAUGUUGUGUCUCUGUGUCUCUUUUCUUUUUGAGACGGAGUCUUGCUCUGUCGCCCAGGCUGGAGGGCAGUGGCAUGAUCUUGGCUCACUCUAAGCUCCGCUCCCCCAGGUUCACUCCAUU
rnacentral:lncRNA from 10 species